CACUUUAUACUGUGAACUGCGAAUGGCUCAUUAAAUCAGUUAUCGUUUAUUUGAUAGUACCUUACUACAUGGAUACCUGUGGUAAUUCUAGAGCUAAUACAUGCUGAAAACCUCGACUUCGGAAGGGGUGUAUUUAUUAGAUAAAAAACCAAUGCCCUUCGGGGCUCCUUGGUGAAUCAUAAUAACUUAACGAAUCGCAUGGCCUUGCGCCGGCGAUGGUUCAUUCAAAUUUCUGCCCUAUCAACUUUCGAUGGUAGGAUAGUGGCCUACCAUGGUGGCAACGGGUAACGGGGAAUUAGGGUUCGAUUCCGGAGAGGGAGCCUGAGAAACGGCUACCACAUCCAAGGAAGGCAGCAGGCGCGCAAAUUACCCAAUCCCGACACGGGGAGGUAGUGACAAUAAAUACUGAUACGGGGCUCUUUUGGGUCUCGUAAUUGGAAUGAGUACAAUCUAAAUCCCUUAACGAGGAACAAUUGGAGGGCAAGUCUGGUGCCAGCAGCCGCGGUAAUUCCAGCUCCAAUAGCGUAUAUUAAAGUUGUUGCAGUUAAAAAGCUCGUAGUUGAACCUUGGGUCUGGCUGGCCGGUCCGCCUCACCGCGAGUACUGGUCCGGCUGGACCUUUCCUUCUGGGGAAUCUCAUGGCCUUCACUGGCUGUGGGGGGAACCAGGACUUUUACUGUGAAAAAAUUAGAGUGUUCAAAGCAGGCCUUUGCUCGAAUACAUUAGCAUGGAAAUAAUAGAAUAGGACGUGCGGUUCUAUUUUGUUGGUUUCUAGGACCGCCGUAAUGAUUAAUAGGGAUAGUCGGGGGCGUCAGUAUUCAGCUGUCAGAGGUGAAAUU
rnacentral:rRNA from 1 species